UUCGCAUGGGAACACGCCCCACCCGAAGCCCCGCCCCAUAGCGUUCCUGUGAGCGCGGGAAGUAGGCCCUGCGGGCCGCCAUCCGCCCGGGGGCCUGUCUGUCUCGCGUGGUUCUUUGCCACCGGGCUCCGAGACCCGCGCCGCCGCUUUGCCUGUUCUGCCCUGAGCGCGCGCUCGCCACCUUCGGGCCCGGGGGCCUCAAGGGGCGAGGGGGCAGAGGACGGGGCCCACCGGCUGAUGGCCGAGAAGCCGAACGGGAGAGGUGGGGAACCAGAAGAGGCCGAGGACGAGGAAGAAAAGGAGGAGGAGCUGCUGAGGAGGGACCCUUUGCUGCCGCUGACCGGCAGGUGGCGGAGGCGGAAUCUCUGGUCCACACGCUGGACCGCUGGUCGGUGGUGGAAAGGAUGGUGGUGCCCGCCAGAACACCCGAAGGGAGGUCGCGUUCGGCAGAGGGACCCUGCGGCACCUGACAGGUGGGCCCUGCUCCUUGGCUCUCUUCCUCCUGGAGCAGGAACGGUGGGGCUCUCGCCGUCUGGGCCGAGUAGAGGCGUCCUCACGGGAACUUGGAUCGGACGUCCAAAACGCCUCCGUGCCCCGAUCGCAACCUGAACUGUGCCCAGUGGGGCCGUCGGGGCAAUUCAGAGUCCGGUGGAAACCGGCCCCGGGACCCCAGCCCAGCCCUCCCCGCAGACAGGGUGCUGUGUGUGAACCCUGCCUUCCAGGGACCCCCUGGGGUGUCACACUUCAGAGCAGCGAGCCCUGCGGAUACGCUGAGGGGGUGCUCACCGCUCGGCUCUGUCACCGCAGGUCAUGGAGCCAUUCAGACCCCGUGGGGUCGUGUCACCUGCGUGUGCAAGACCCACGACCCCCAAAGGGACCCCGGUCCUCCCCUCCCCUGCCUCACACACCCGACUUCCCAAAUACACACUCAGGGAGUCGAGGGGUACCCGGUGACCACAGCCAGCCUGAGCCCAGGGUCGGCCCCACGACAGACCCCAUGGAGCCCUGACGUCCGACCGAACCUUCUCUUUCCGCAGAGAAAAUCAGAGCGUGCCAGA
rnacentral:lncRNA from 1 species